CCUACGGGAGGCAGCAGUAGGGAAUCUUCCACAAUGGACGAAAGUCUGAUGGAGCAACGCCGCGUGAGCGAUGAAGGCCUUCGGGUCGUAAAGCUCUGUUGUUAGGGAAGAACAAGUAUCGGAGUAACUGCCGAUACCUUGACGGUACCUAACCAGAAAGCCACGGCUAACUACGUGCCAGCAGCCGCGGUAAUACGUAGGUGGCAAGCGUUGUCCGGAAUUAUUGGGCGUAAAGCGCGCGCAGGCGGUCUUUUAAGUCUGAUGUGAAAGCCCACGGCUCAACCGUGGAGGGUCAUUGGAAACUGGGAGACUUGAGUGCAGAAGAGGAAAGCGGAAUUCCACGUGUAGCGGUGAAAUGCGUAGAGAUGUGGAGGAACACCAGUGGCGAAGGCGGCUUUCUGGUCUGUAACUGACGCUGAGGCGCGAAAGCGUGGGGAGCAAACAGGAUUAGAUACCCUGGUAGUCCACGCCGUAAACGAUGAGUGCUAAGUGUUAGGGGGUUUCCGCCCCUUAGUGCUGCAGCUAACGCAUUAAGCACUCCGCCUGGGGAGUACGGCCGCAAGGUUAAAACUCAAAGGAAUUGACGG
rnacentral:rRNA from 1 species